rnacentral:lncRNA from 1 species
CGGUCUUUUCACCUCCGAAUAAAUAUGCUCUUAUCUGGCAGUUAGCUAUCUGGAGGAUAAAUAUUUAUUCGCCAGAUAAAAAGUACCCGUCUUUUCACGUCAAUUUAUGUUCCAGUUAGUUAUCCGGUAGAUAAGCUUAAAAGUAAGUUUGGAUUCCGAACACACCUGACUUUUAUGUUUAUUUUUAUAAUUUCAGCUUUAACUUAACCUAACAUAAUUAGAUUCAAAGUAUUUCAAAGAUGAUUUUAUCGAUUUUAUUUCCAUUUUGGAAGAAGGAAUGAAGGAAAUAAGGAAAACAUUGAUUAUGCUGAAAUAGUUUACUGGAGAGCUUGAACAAGAGGUAAAUCCAUUUUAAAUUAGAGGAAAACUGUUGAUUUGUAUGUAAAAUAGAAGACAAAGACAAGUUUAAAUAAAGACAAGCUAGCUAAUGAAACAGAUGCAGUGAUAUGACAAACACCUAGAAGAUGGAAUCCUGUGUUCUCAAAGAAAAAGCUAGUUCCAGAAAUAAGCUACCAAUAAUAAACUAGAGAAUGUAUUACAAGAAAGAACAACGCUAAUACCCAACAUAGCUCAAUUGCUUCAGAUAGAAAAAGAGGAGGAAAGGGUAGAACACAAGCGUGCCAGAGAAAAUUAAAGGGCAGAAGAGACACAAAAAUUCAUUGAUUUAUUAAAUUUAAUAAUUAAAUUAUACAAAGGACAAUUAAAUAAAGAAUAAAAAAUUA